rnacentral:rRNA from 1 species
GUGCCAGCAGCCGCGGUAACACGUAGGGGCCAAGCGUUGUCCGGAUUCAUUGGGCGUAAAGAGCUCGUAGGCGGUUCAGUUAGUCGGGUGUGAAAUCUCCGGGCUCAACCCGGAGGGGCCACCCGAUACUGCUGUGACUCGAGUCCGGUAGGGGAGUGGGGAAUUCCUGGUGUAGCGGUGAAAUGCGCAGAUAUCAGGAGGAACACCGGUGGCGAAGGCGCCACUCUGGGCCGGUACUGACGCUGAGGAGCGAAAGCGUGGGUAGCAAACAGGAUUAGAUACCCUGGUAGUCC